rnacentral:rRNA from 1 species
GUCCUCAUGGUUUUUUAUGAGGUCUUACCUGCCCAGUGAAAUUUUAACGGCCGCGGUAUUUUGACCGUGCAAAGGUAGCAUAAUCAUUAGUCUUUUAAUAGGAGGCUGGAAUGAAAGGUUUGACGAGGCAGUAACUGUCUCGAUUCAAUUUUUUGAAUUUAGCUUUUUGGUCAAAAGGCUUAAAUGUUUUUGGAAGACGAGAAGACCCUAUAGAGCUUUAAAGUUGAUUUUAUUAGUUUAUUUUUUUUAUUAUUUUAUUAAUUUAUUUAAUUUUUUUGUUGGGGUGACAAAAAUAUAUAUUUAACUUUUAUUAUUUAUUACACAUUUAUGUAUGAUUACUAGAUCCUUUAUUAUUGAUUAUUAGAACAAGUUACCUUAGGGAUAACAGCGUAAUCUUCCUUCAGAGUUCAAAUUUACAGGAAGGCUUGCGACCUCGAUGUUGGAUUAAGAUAAUUGUUAGGUGUAGAGGCUUAACUAAUAGGUCUGUUCGACCUUUAAAUUCUUACAUGAUCUGAGUUCAGACCGG